rnacentral:rRNA from 1 species
CAAUAAGCGGAGGAAAAGAAACUAACAAGGAUUCCCCUAGUAACUGCGAGUGAAGCGGGAAAAGCUCAAAUUUAAAAUCUGGUGGUCUUUGGCCAUCCGAGUUGUAAUCUAGAGAAGUGUUACCCGUGUCGGACCGUGUACAAGUCUCCUGGAAUGGAGCGUCAUAGAGGGUGAGAAUCCCGUCUUUGACACGGACCCCCGAUGCUUUGUGGUGCGCUCUCAACGAGUCGAGUUGUUUGGGAAUGCAGCUCAAAAUGGGUGGUAAAUUCCAUCUAAAGCUAAAUAUUGGCGAGAGACCGAUAGCGAACAAGUACCGUGAGGGAAAGAUGAAAAGAACUUUGGAAAGAGAGUUAAACAGUACGUGAAAUUGCUGAAAGGGAAACGCUUGAAGUCAGUCGCGUUGGCCGGAAAUCAGCCUUCCUUUUGGUUGGUGUACUUUCUGGUUGACGGGCCAGCAUCAGUUUUGAUCGGUGGAAAAAGUUGUAGGGAAUGUGGCAUCUUCGGGUGUGUUAUAGCCUUGCUUCGUAUACAUCGGUUGGGACUGAGGAACUCAGCACGCCGCAAGGCCGGGGUUCGCCCACGUUCGUGCUUAGGAUGCUGGCAUAAUGGCUUUAAUCGACCCGUCUUGAAACACGGACCAAGGAGUCUAACAUGCCUGCGAGUGUUUGGGUGGAAAACCCGAGCGCGUAAUGAAAGUGAAAGUCGAGAUCCUUGUCAUGGGGAGCAUCGACGCCCGGACCAGAUGUUUUCUGACGGUUCUGCGGUAGAGCAUGUAUGUUGGGACCCGAAAGAUGGUGAACUAUGCCUGAAUAGGGUGAAGCCAGAGGAAACUCUGGUGGAGGCUCGUAGCGAUUUCUGACGUGCAAAUCGAUCGUCAAAUUUGGGUAUAGGGGCGAAAGACUAAUCGAACCAUCU